ACCUUAAGCCGCCGGGCUAACCCCGCAAGGGGAGGCAGGCGUCCACGGUCAGGUCAGCGACUGGGGUGAAGUCGUAACAAGGUAGCCGUAGGUGAACCUGCAGAAGGAUCA
rnacentral:rRNA from 1 species